GUCAGGUAUGGUGGCAGGUGCCUGUAAUCCCAGCUACUUGGGAGGCUGAGGCAAGAGAAUCACUCUAGCCUGGGAGGCAGAGGUUGCAGUGAGCUGAGAUCGCACCACUGCACUUUGCUCUGUUACCCAGGCUUGAAUGCAGUGGUGCAAUCUCAGUUCACUGCAACCUCCGCCCCCCAGGCUAGAGUGAUUCUCUUGCCUCAG
rnacentral:sRNA from 1 species